CGCAGAAGANCGAAGGAAAAAGGAUCCCCCCAGACGUCCCUCUAAACGGCCAGACUUNGAAGCAUUAUCCAACACGCAGGUGGACUUUCUCAGGUAACGCUGAAAGCAAAGGCUAGUCNCUUUGCUGAUGUGAUCUCUCACUCUGAAAGUGGACUGAAGCUGGAUUAAANCUUAGGUGUAGAUGGGCCCUAAAUGACCCUCUCAAUGAACCUUUCUUUCCUGGGAUAAAGAAGGAAACCAUCNUCUUGGGCUUCGGUCAGCAAAGGGUUGUUCUGCACAAGGGGCGUGCGAACAUCUGUCUUAGAAAGGACUUUCCAGAGAUUGACCCCAAAGUGCUGGGCAGACGGAUCUGUCCUCCCUCCCUGCCAUGGAGCUAUGAAGGUGGGGUUCUUCCAACUCAGGAGUGGGCGUGGCCUCCUGUGGGCGUGGCCUCUUUCCCCCUAUAUCAGCAGGUGUUUCAGCUCCAGCCAGGUAAGUCUUGGUGCUUCCUGCAUUUUCCUGCCACAAUGGUUUGCAUCCAACUGCUCCUGGGGUGGGCACUACUGCUGGGGCGGCCGGUAGGGGGGACAGAGGAUGGGAGUGCCUCAUCCUCUUUGGAAGAAUCGCCCCAGCUGGAGGAGACGGACGAAAUGCAGGAGGCAGCUGCAAGCGACCUGCGGAGGGAUAUAGAGGAGAACGGAGCGAAUGCCAGUUCCGCUGGGCAGUUCAUAGAUCACGCCCAGGACUCCUUCCACCGGGACCUGAGCCUGGACGAGCACGUCUACGUGGUAACAGACGUAGAACAGAUAACAGCCAAGAAGCUGAUUGGGAAUAUGAUAUACAUGAAGUUGUUUUUAGCAAAAACCAAUUGUACGACGGCAGAUUGGGAGGAAAAUAAAUCCUUCAUUUACGGUGGCGAUAAUUCUGGGACUCAGGACGGACAAGGGUGGAAACCCUGCAACCAGCCAGAAGAAUCCCAGCGAGAGCACUUGGAUUGUGAUUUCGAUCUGCUCCUACCAGUCACAAGACUUGUUCCCCACAUCAUGAGGCACCACUGCCAGCCNCUGGACCUGAAGUGAAUCUGAGGAGAUUCCGGCCUCCGUGUGGGUGCGGUUGGCCAGAGGCCAGAGGAAGGAGAGGACGACGCACCCAGCCCCAAGCCUGCUGAAUAGUCACCUAGAUGCCAGCCUGGGCACUCUUCCCGCCAAAGGAGGUGCCAGGGUCCUCUUCCACCCGUCCCACCCCUACAACCUCCGGUAGAGUUUGCUUCCCCUUGUCCUCAGCUUGGAGAAUAAAAGGC
rnacentral:lncRNA from 1 species